GAUAAACGCUAGCGGCAGGCUUAACACAUGCAAGUCGAGGGGCAGCAUAGAUUGUAGCAAUACAAUUGGUGGCGACCGGCGCACGGGUGCGUAACGCGUAUGCAACCUACCCGUCACAGGGGGAUAAUCCGGAGAAAUCUGGUCUAAUACCCCAUAACAUGUGGAUCGGCAUCGGUUCAUGUUGGAAUUUUCGGAGGUGACGGAUGGGCAUGCGUAGCAUUAGCUUGUUGGUGAGGUAACGGCUCACCAAGGCGACGAUGCUUAGGGGGACUAAGAGGUUUUCCCCCCACACUGGUACUGAGACACGGACCAGACUCCUACGGGAGGCAGCAGUGAGGAAUAUUGGUCAAUGGGCGCAAGCCUGAACCAGCCAUGCCGCGUGCAGGAUGACGGCUCUAUGAGUUGUAAACUGCUUUUGUACGAGGGUAAAGUGGGUUACGUGUAACCUUUUGAAAGUAUCGUACGAAUAAGGAUCGGCUAACUCCGUGCCAGCCGCCGCCGUAA
rnacentral:rRNA from 1 species